rnacentral:lncRNA from 1 species
CUGGAAUGGCAGUUGUAAGGUGAAUGAAUUGUGCUGACCCCAGCCUGGUCUGGUACAUUUACUGGUUUUCCUCUUUCCUAUAGACACCUUUACCUUGUUUGCUCAAGAAUAUUGUGCAACAGUGGACCUUCAUGGUUUCCAAGCAGAAAAAUGCUGUUUGACCACUGAGCAAAUUCUUCUUGACUGCUUUGGAUUAAGAAUUGCUACUCUGGUGAAAUUAAGCCAAAGUGUCAUUCAGGAAGCAAGAUGUUUCGUUUGAACAGAACAUAAAUCAAAGCUGGAAGUAGGGGCUGCCUAGUCUCCCUGUUCUGAAGCCCUCUUGACUCUGUGAAUUCCAUCACCAAAUCCUUGCUUCCAGACCUCAGGAACAUGGCUUCAACAAGUCUGUCUAUGCCAAACCCAUGCUUCCCAUUGCUUUCAUUCUGAAGCUUCUAGGGCUGUUUCAAGAAUGCAAUGCAAAAUUAAAAUUUCAUGGAAUAUUAAGCAAUUCUUUCUAAUAGAAAGCCAGUAAAAUUGUCAAAUUUCAUUGAUCACCAAGCCAUGUAGAUGACUGGCCAGUUUGAAAGGUCCACACUAUGGUUUGAAUCUUCGUUUCCUCACCAAAAUCCAUGUUCAAACUUAAAACCCAUUGUGGUGAUAUUAAGAGGUGUGUUCUUUGGGAGGUGAUUAAGUCAUCUAUGGCAUUAGCACCUUAUAAAAGGGCUCAGGGAUGAAGGGAGCACCCUCUUGCCUUCCUAUCUCUUCCUCCAUGUAAGGACAUUGCUUUCCUCCUCUGGGGAGGAUGCAGCAACAAGGCGCCAUCUUGAAAGCAGAGAGCAGCCCUCAACAGACACCACUUCUACUGGCUUCUUGAUCUUGGACUCUCAGCCUCCAGAACCAUGAGAAAUAAACUUCUGUUCUUUUAUCAAUUAUCCAGUCUCGGGUACUUUGUUG